UACGUAGGGGGCAAGCGUUAUCCGGAUUUACUGGGUGUAAAGGGAGCGUAGACGGCGGAGCAAGUCUGAAGUGAAAGCCCCGGGCUUAACCCGGGAACUGCUUUGGAAACUGUACUGCUAGAGUGCUGGAGAGGUAAGCGGAAUUCCUAGUGUAGCGGUGAAAUGCGUAGAUAUUAGGAGGAACACCAGUGGCGAAGGCGGCUUACUGGACAGUCACUGACGCUGAGGUUCGAAAGCGUGGGUAGCAAACAGG
rnacentral:rRNA from 1 species